rnacentral:rRNA from 1 species
AUUGAACGCUAGCGGGAUGCCUUACACAUGCAAGUCGAACGAGUGGCGAACGGGUGAGUAAUGUAUCGGAACGUGCCCAUUAGCGGGGGAUAACUACGCGAAACGUAGCUAAUACCGCAUACUAUUGGAGCUGCCGGUAUCGGAUUAGAGAGUUGGUGGGGUAACGGCUCACCAAUGCGACGAUCAGUAGCUGGUUUGAGAGGACGACCAGCCACACUGGGAAUGAGACGCAGCCCAGAAUGCUACGGGAGGCAGGAGGAGGGAGUUUAGGUCAAUGGGCGCUAGCCUGAACCAGCCAAGUAGCGUGAAGGAUGAAGGCGUUAUGGGUCGUAAACUACUUUUAUAUAAGAAAGGUAUUAGAUGAAUAAGGAUCGGCUAACUACGUGCCAGCAGCCGCGGUAAUAC